AUUGAACGCUGGCGGCAGGCCUAACACAUGCAAGUCGAACGAGUGGCGGACGGGUGAGUCAGGUCUGGGACACUGCCUGAUUGAGGGGGAUAACUGCUGGACAAGGUAUCUAAUACCGCAUCCCAUCAGAUGUGCCCAAAUGGGAUGAGCUUGUUGGAGGGGUAACGGCUCACAAAGGCGACGAUCCCUAGCUGGUCUGAGAGGAUGACCAGCCACACUGGAACUGAGACACGGUCCAGACUCCUACGGGAGGCAGCAGUGGGGAAUAUUGCGCAAUGGGGGAAAGCCUGAUGCAGCCAUGCCGCGUGUAUGAAGAAGGCUUUCGGGUUGUAAAGUACUUUCAGCGGGGAGGCGUGACCUGCAGAAGAAGCACCGGCUAACUCCGUGCCAGCAGCCGCGGUAAUAC
rnacentral:rRNA from 1 species